UGAACGCUGGCGGCGUGCCUAAUACAUGUAAGUCGAGCGAACAGACGAGGAGCUUGCUCCUCUGACGUUAGCGGCGGACGGGUGAGUAACACGUGGAUAACCUACCUAUAAGACUGGGAUAACUUCGGGAAACCGGAGCUAAUACCGGAUAAUAUAUUGAACCGCAUGGUUCAAUAGUGAAAGACGGUUUUGCUGUCACUUAUAGAUGGAUCCGCGCCGCAUUAGCUAGUUGGUAAGGUAACGGCUUACCAAGGCAACGAUGCGUAGCCGACCUGAGAGGGUGAUCGGCCACACUGGAACUGAGACACGGUCCAGACUCCUACGGGAGGCAGCAGUAGGGAAUCUUCCGCAAUGGGCGAAAGCUUGACGGAGCAACGCCGCGUGAGUGAUGAAGGUCUUCAGAUCGUAAAACUCUGUUAUUAGGGAAGAACAAAUGUGUAAGUAACUAUGCACGUCUUGACGGUACCUAAUCAGAAAGCCACGGCUAACUACGUG
rnacentral:rRNA from 1 species